UCCUGGUUUCCCAGGCAGUCCCAUCAGAGUGCUCCAUCACUGGAUAGCAACUGACAGCAGGGGUUGCGCUCGUUAUAGGACUUAACCCAACAUCUCACGACACGAGCUGACGACAGCCAUGCAGCACCUGUGUAUAUGUUCAGGGUUACCCCUGAAAAGCCGUGUUUCUACGGAUGUCAUAUACAUGUCAAGCCUAGGUAAGGUUCCUCGCGUAGUGUCGAAUUAAACCACAUGUUCCACCGCUUGUGCGGACCCCCGUCAAUUCCUUUGAGUUUUAAUCUUGCGACCGUACUCCCCAGGCGGAUCACUUAGCGCGUUAGCUACGACACCAAUCUUGCAAAGCAAGACCAACAUCUAGUGAUCAUCGUUUACAGCGUGGACUAC
rnacentral:misc_RNA from 1 species